rnacentral:rRNA from 1 species
GACGAACGCUGGCGGCGUGCCUAAUACAUGCAAGUCGAACGCUUCUUUCCUCCCGAGUGCUUGCACUCAAUUGGAAAGAGGAGUGGCGGACGGGUGAGUAACACGUGGGUAACCUACCCAUCAGAGGGGGAUAACACUUGGAAACAGGUGCUAAUACCGCAUAACAGUUUAUGCCGCAUGGCAUAAGAGUGAAAGGCGCUUUCGGGUGUCGCUGAUGGAUGGACCCGCGGUGCAUUAGCUAGUUGGUGAGGUAACGGCUCACCAAGGCCACGAUGCAUAGCCGACCUGAGAGGGUGAUCGGCCACACUGGGACUGAGACACGGCCCAGACUCCUACGGGAGGCAGCAGUAGGGAAUCUUCGGCAAUGGACGAAAGUCUGACCGAGCAACGCCGCGUGAGUGAAGAAGGUUUUCGGAUCGUAAAACUCUGUUGGUAGAGAAGAACAAGGACGUUAGUAACUGAACGUCACCUGACGGUAUCUAACCAGAAAGCCACGGCUAACUACGUG